AUGGCCGACACGGGACAAAGCGUAUUAUCUGUUCUUAUCAGCUUAAUAUCUGAUAGGGGUUCGAUUUGGAUCCUAAACAUUGAACUUUUUUUUCUUUUUUUGCAAGUUGGCGGAGUGCUUGAAGCUUGCUUCACCUCCGCCGCCGGUGGGCCGGUAUUGCAUCAUCUCCGGUAUCGGCCCACGGCUU